rnacentral:rRNA from 1 species
UGGGGAAUAUUGGACAAUGGGCGCAAGCCUGAUCCAGCCAUGCCGCGUGAGUGAUGAAGGCCCUAGGGUUGUAAAGCUCUUUCACCGGUGAAGAUAAUGACGGUAACCGGAGAAGAAGCCCCGGCUAACUUCGGGCCAGCAGCCGCGGUAAUACGAAGGGGGCUAGCGUUGUUCGGAUUUACUGGGCGUAAAGCGCACGUAGGCGGACUAUUAAGUCAGGGGUGAAAUCCCGGGGCUCAACCCCGGAACUGCCUUUGAUACUGGUAGUCUUGAGUUCGAGAGAGGUGAGUGGAAUUCCGAGUGUAGAGGUGAAAUUCGUAGAUAUUCGGAGGAACACCAGUGGCGAAGGCUGCUCACUGGCAAGAUACUGACGCUGAGGUGCGAAAGCGUGGGGAGCAAACAGG